GACGAACGCUGGCGGCGUGCCUAACACAUGCAAGUCGAGCGGUCUCGCCUAUAGCAAAAGGCCUUCGGGCUUCGAGCAAAGGCGAGAUAGCGGCGGACGGGUGAGUAACGCGUGGCUUAUCUGUCCCAGGGAGGGGGAUAACGUCUGGAAACGGGCGCUAAUACCCCAUAUGCCGGUGAGGUAAAAAGGAGAAAUCCGCCCUGGGGUGAGGCCGCGUCCUAUCAGCUAGUUGGUGAGGUAACGGCCCACCAAGGCUACGACGGGUAGCCGGCCUGAGAGGGCGGCUGGCCACACUGGGAUUGAGAUACGGCCCAGACUCCUACGGGAGGCAGCAGUGGGGAAUAUUGGGCAAUGGGGGAAACCCUGACCCAGCGACGCCGCGUGGAGGAAGGAGCCCUUCGGGGUGUAAACUCCUGUUGUAAGGGAAGAAGGCAGUGACGGUACCUUACGAGGAAGCCCCGGCAAACUACGUGCCAGCAGCCGCGGUAACACGUAGGGGGCGAGCGUUGUCCGGAAUCACUGGGCGUAAAGCGCACGCAGGCGGAUGCGCGCGUCGGCUGUGAAAUGCACCGGCUCAACCGGUGCACUGCGGUCGAUACGGCGCGUCUGGAGUGCGGGAGAGGGAAGCGGAAUUCCCGGUGUAGCGGUGAAAUGCGUAGAUAUCGGGAGGAACGCCGGUGGCGAAGGCGGCUUCCUGGCCCGCAACUGACGCUCAUGUGCGAAAGCCAGGGGAGCGAACC
rnacentral:rRNA from 1 species